rnacentral:rRNA from 1 species
GACGAACGCUGGCGGCGUGCUUAACACAUGCAAGUCGAACGGUGAAGCGCCUUCCUUUUUGGUGGGUGUGGAUGAGUGGCGAACGGGUGAGUAACACGUGAGUAACCUGCCCCCUUCUUCUGGAUAACCGCAUGAAAGUGUGGCUAAUACGGGAUAUUCUGGGUCUGUCGCAUGAUGGGUCUGGGAAAGAUAUUGUUUCGGUGGGGGAUGGGCUCGCGGCCUAUCAGCUUGUUGGUGGGGUGAUGGCCUACCAAGGCGGUGACGGGUAGCCGGCCUGAGAGGGUGGACGGUCACACUGGGACUGAGACACGGCCCAGACUCCUACGGGAGGCAGCAGUGGGGAAUAUUGCACAAUGGGCGCAAGCCUGAUGCAGCGACGCCGCGUGAGGGAUGGAGGCCUUCGGGUUGUGAACCUCUUUCGCCAGUGAAGCAGGCCUGCCUCGUUUGUGGGUGGGUUGACGGUAGCUGGAUAAGAAGCGCCGGCUAACUACGUC